rnacentral:rRNA from 1 species
AGGGUGUAAACGCUGCAGACUUGGUGUUGGAAAUCCUUCGAGGGUAUUCAGUGCCGGAGAGAAGUUGUUAAGUCUGCUACUUGGGAGUACGUCCGCAAGGGUGAAACUUAAGAUGCGGGGGAGCACCGCAACGGGAGGAGCGUGCGGUUUAAUUGGAUUCAACACCGGAAAACUCACCAGGGGAGACUGUUACAUGAAACCCAGACUAAUGAUCUUGGUUGAUUUUCAGAGAGGAGGUGCAUGGCGUCAGUGACU